rnacentral:rRNA from 1 species
GACGAACGCUGGCGGCGCGCUUAACACAUGCAAGUCGAACGGAAAGGCCUGCUUUCCCUUGUGGGUUUCGGGUACUCGUGUGGCACACGUGUGUGUAACACGUUCGUGAUCUGGCUCCAACUUGGGUAUAGUCCUGGGAAACUGGGUCUAAUUCCCGAUAGAACUUGAGGGUUGGGCCUGUGUUGGAGGACGGUUUUCUAGUGGCUGGGGAUGAGCUCGCGGCCUAGCAGCUUGUUGGCGGGGUAAUGGCCUGCGAGGGCGGCGACGGGUAGCCGGUGUGAGAGGGCGGACGGCGAGAGUGGGACUGAGCUACGGCACAGAGUCAUACGGGAGGCAGCAGUGGGGAGUAGUGGACGAGGGGCGGAAGCCUGAUGCAGCGGCGCGGCGUGGGAGAUGACGGUGUGCGAGGUGUGACCUCCUGUCGAACGCGGGGAAGCCACGUGGUUGGGAGGGUGGUGACGGUAGUGGUAGAAGAAGCACCGGCUAACUACGUG